AUUGAACGCUGGCGGCAGGCCUAACACAUGCAAGUCGAGCGAGCGGCGGACGGGUGAGUAAUGUAUGGGGAACUGCCUGAUGGAGGGGGAUAACUACUGGAAACGGUAGCUAAUACCGCAUACCAUCAGAUGAACCCAGAUGGGAUUAGCUUGUAGGUGAGGUAACGGCUUACCUAGGCGACGAUCCCUAGCUGGUCUGAGAGGAUGACCAGCCACACUGGAACUGAGACACGGUCCAGACUCCUACGGGAGGCAGCAGUGGGGAAUAUUGCACAAUGGGCGCAAGCCUGAUGCAGCCAUGCCGCGUGUGUGAAGAAGGCCUUCGGGUUGUAAAGCACUUUCAGUCGGGAGGCGUUACCCGCAGAAGAAGCACCGGCUAACUCCGUGCCAGCAGCCGCGGUAAUUC
rnacentral:rRNA from 1 species